rnacentral:rRNA from 1 species
UAGUCCGCACAGUAAACGAUGAAUACUCGCGGUUGGCGAUACACAGUCAGCCGCCCAGCGAAAGCGUUAAGUAUUCCACCUGGGGAGUACGCCGGCAACGGUGAAACUCAAAGGAAUUGACGGGGGCCCGCACAAGCGGAGGAACAUGUGGUUUAAUUCGAUGAUACGCGAGGAACCUUACCCGGGCUUGAACUGCCAGUGACAGAUGCAGAGACGCAUUAUUCUUCGGACACUGGCGG